GAAAAAUUUUCAUAGCAGAAACUGAAAACACAAAACCCACCAUUUUAGCCAAACUGAAAUCCCAAACCACCUACCACCGCCAUCAGACAACCCAAAACUCCGCCACUGUGACCCACGCUGCCGCCGAUUAGCAAACCAAACCCAAACCCGCAACACCACCACCCAGAAUUGAUGCUUUUGAGCUGAGGAGGCAGACGUGGUCUGAAAAUGGGUGGGAAUCUGUUUGUGGUUCAAAAGCCUUUAAAUGAAAUAUUUGCCACGUGCUACUGGAGGAAGUAGGAGAUUUUAAAAUGGAGGUGAGCCUCUCCCAUUACAGACUUACAGAUUAAAAGACUAGAACUAUUAGAAGGAAGCUCUAACAGGGUCAUAAGACAUUCUGGAGAAGAAUAUUGCAAAU